rnacentral:rRNA from 1 species
UACGUAGGGCGCAAGCGUUGUCCGGAAUUAUUGGGCGUAAAGAGCUCGUAGGCGGUUGGGUAAGUCGGGUGUGAAAACUCCAGGCUCAACUUGGAGACGCCACCCGAUACUGCUCUGACUUGAGUUCGGUAGGGGAGUGGGGAAUUCCUGGUGUAGCGGUGAAAUGCGCAGAUAUCAGGAGGAACACCGGUGGCGAAGGCGCCACUCUGGGCCGAAACUGACGCUGAGGAGCGAAAGCGUGGGUAGCGAACAGG